rnacentral:rRNA from 1 species
UACGUAGGGUGCAAGCGUUGUCCGGAAUUAUUGGGCGUAAAGAGCUCGUAGGCGGUCAGUCGCGUCUGCUGUGAAAACUCGGGGCUUAACUCCGGGCCUGCAGUGGGUACGGGCUGACUAGAGUGCGGUAGGGGAGACUGGAAUUCCUGGUGUAGCGGUGAAAUGCGCAGAUAUCAGGAGGAACACCGGUGGCGAAGGCGGGUCUCUGGGCCGUAACUGACGCUGAGGAGCAAAAGCGUGGGGAGCGAACAGG